rnacentral:rRNA from 1 species
GACGAACGCUGGCGGCGUGCUUAACACAUGCAAGUCGAACGGAAAGGCCCUGCUUGCAGGGUGCUCGAGUGGCGAACGGGUGAGUAACACGUGGGUGAUCUGCCCCUUACUUUGGGAUAAGCCUGGGAAACUGGGUCUAAUACUGGAUAGGACCAUGCUGUAGGUGGUGUGGUGGAAAGAUUAGUUUCGGUAAGGGAUGAGCUCGCGGCCUAUCAGCUUGUUGGUGGGGUAAUGGCCUACCAAGGCGUCCACGGGUAGCCGGCCUGAGAGGGUGGACGGCCACAUUGGGACUGAGAUACGGCCCACACUCCUACGGGAGGCAGCAGUGGGGAAUAUUGCACAAUGGGCGCAAGCCUGAUGCAGCGACGCCGCGUGGGGGAUGACGGCCUUCGGGUUGUAAACUCCUUUCACCCAUGACGAAGCCCUUGUGGUGACGGUAGUGGUAGAAGAAGCACCGGCUAACUACGUGCCAGCAGCCGCGGUAAUACGUACGGUGCGAGCGUUGUCCGGAAUUACUGGGCGUAAAGAGCUCGUAGGUGGUCUGUCGCGUCAUUUGUGAAAGCCCGGGGCUUAACUCCGGGUUGGCAGGUGAUACGGGCAUGACUGGAGUACUGUAGGGGAGACUGGAAUUCCUGGUGUAGCGGUGGAAUGCGCAGAUAUCAGGAGGAACACCGGUGGCGAAGGCGGGUCUCUGGGCAGUAACUGACGCUGAGGAGCGAAAGCAUGGGUAGCGAACAGGAUUAGAUACCCUGGUAGUCCAUGCCGUAAACGGUGGGCGCUAGGUGUGGGUUUCCUUCCACGGGAUCCGUGCCGUAGCUAACGCAUUAAGCGCCCCGCCUGGGGAGUACGGCCGCAAGGCUAAAACUCAAAGGAAUUGACGGGGGCCCGCACAAGCGGCGGAGCAUGUGGAUUAAUUCGAUGCAACGCGAAGAACCUUACCUGGGCUUGACAUGCACUGGAUGCGGCCAGAGAUGGUUGUUCCCUUUGUGGCUGGUGUGCAGGUGGUGCAUGGUUGUCGUCAGCUCGUGUCGUGAGAUGUUGGGUUAAGUCCCGCAACGAGCGCAACCCUUGUCUCGUGUUGCCAGCAUUUGGUUGGGGACUCGCGGGAGACUGCCGGGGUUAACUCGGAGGAAGGUGGGGAUGACGUCAAAUCAUCAUGCCCCUUAUGUCCAGGGCUUCACACAUGCUACAAUGGCUGGUACAGAGAGUUGCGAUACCGUGAGGUGGGGCUAAUCUCGUAAAGCCAGUCUCAGUUCGGAUUGGAGUCUGCAACUCGACUCCAUGAAGUCGGAGUCGCUAGUAAUCGCAGAUCAGCAAUGCUGCGGUGAAUAAAGUCNCCGGGCCU